rnacentral:lncRNA from 10 species
GUCAGCUCCUAUCUCUCCUGGGGAGUGGAGGCUGCUCUGGAGUGGGGCCAAGAUCGGGAGGCCCAGGAGAGAAAAGGGCCUGCAAUCUACCUCCCAGUCAACAAGAUGCUAUAAUAAAAACAUAGCCAACUGUCACUCAGCGUUUAUUACGGUGCCAGAUGAGGAAACAGGUGCAGAACCGUGGAGUAACCUGCGCAGGGUCUCCAGUAGAAAAACAGGCCCUUGGUCAGAUGAAUUUACCCACUUCGGCCACCAGGGGCGCUGUUGGCACAGCUUGAACUCGAGACCAGCGCUGUCCAACGGAAACCGAACGUAAGCCACAUUUCUAAAAAGUACACAAGAAAAGUGAAAUUAGUGUUAUAUUUUCUUUAACUCGGUAUAUCCAAAAUAGUAUCAUCUUGGCAUGUAAUCAACACGACAUUUAUUAGAUACUUUA